rnacentral:rRNA from 1 species
GAUGAACGCUGGCGGCGUGCCUAAUACAUGCAAGUCGAGCGAACGGACGAGAAGCUUGCUUCUCUGAUGUUAGCGGCGGACGGGUGAGUAACACGUGGAUAACCUACCUAUAAGACUGGGAUAACUUCGGGAAACCGGAGCUAAUACCGGAGGAUAUUUUGAACCGCAGGGUUCAAAAGUGAAAUACGGUCUUGCUGUCUCGUAUAGAUGGAUCGGCGCUGCAUUAGCUAGUUGGUAAGGUAACGGCUUACCAAGGCAACGAUGCAUAGACGACCUGGGGGGGGGGUCGGCCACCCGGGAGCUGAGACGCCGUCCUGGCUCCUGCGGGAAGCCGCAGUCGGGAACCUUCGGCAAUGGGCGAAAACCUGACGGAACGACGCCGCGUCAGUGAUGAAGGUCUUCGGAUCGUAAAACUCUGUUACUAGGGAAGAACAUAUGUGUCAGUAACUGUGCACAUCUUGACGGUACCUAAUCAGAAAGCCACGGCUAACUACGUG